GAUGAACGCUGGCGGCGUGCCUAAUACAUGCCAGUCGAGCGAACGGACGAGAAGCUUGCUUCUCUGAUGUUAGCGGCGGACGGGUGAGUAACACGUGGAUAACCUACCUAUAAGACUGGGAUAACUUCGGGAAACCGUAGCUAAUACCGGAUAAUAUUUUGAACCGCAUGGUUCAAAGGUGAAAGACGGUCUUGCUGUCACUUAUAGAUGGAUCCGCGCUGCAUUAGCUAGUUGGUAAGGUAACGGCUUACCAAGGCAACGAUGCAUAGCCGACCUGAGAGGGUGAUCGGCCACACUGGAACUGAGACACGGUCCAGACUCCUACGGGAGGCAGCAGUAGGGAAUCUUCCGCAAUGGGCGAAAGCCUGACGGAGCAACGCCGCGUGAGUGAUGAAGGUCUUCGGAUCGUAAAACUCUGUUAUUAGGGAAGAACAUAUGUGUAAGUAACUGUGCACAUCUUGACGGUACCUAAUCAGAAAGCCACGGCUAACUACGUG
rnacentral:rRNA from 1 species